CUUCAAAGGGGAUGGAAGGAUCCCAUAGUAGGCAGACCUCUCCUUAACUCACUGGAAAACCAGGGCUCAUCUGGCCUGUGAUGACAGCCACCGCGUACAUCUUGAUGACCAGCAGUGUGCUGCAGAGCAGAAAGGCCGGGAGCACCUGGCCGCUCUCCAUCACCAGGCCCGGGGAAGGCAUCUCGGCUAGCCGGCCUGGACUUCAACUCGGGGACACCGGGACUGAGAGUGAGACUGUCCCACAGGCGGCUUAUGGAGAGGAGGAGGCGGGCCAAGUCCUGAGUAGGCGGUCACCCCCGCCCACUCCCCGCCCACCCUGAUCACCCGCAGCAGGCCCC
rnacentral:lncRNA from 1 species